GGGGUUAUAGUUUAAUGGUAGAACGAUUGCUUUGCACGCAUUUAAUAUGGAUUCGAUUUCCAUUAACUCCA
rnacentral:tRNA from 1 species